AACCAAAUGGCCGAGUGGAUAGGCAAUGGUCAGCAAAACCAUGUAUGGGGGUUCGAAUCCCCCUUUGGUUA
rnacentral:tRNA from 1 species